rnacentral:rRNA from 1 species
GACGAACGCUGGCGGCGUGCUUAACACAUGCAAGUCGAACGGUGAAGCGCUUUCCUUUUUGGUUGGUGUGGAUGAGUGGCGAACGGGUGAGUAACACGUGAGUAACCUGCCCCCUUCUUCUGGAUAACCGCAUGAAAGUGUGGCUAAUACGGGAUAUUCUGCGCCUGCUGCAUGGUGGGUGUGGGAAAGAUUGUGCCUUUGGGUGUUUUCGGUGGGGGAUGGGCUCGCGGCCUAUCAGCUUGUUGGUGGGGUGAUGGCCUACCAAGGCGGUGACGGGUAGCCGGCCGGGGAGGGUGGACGGUCACACUGGGACUGAGACACGGCCCAGACUCCUACGGGAGGCAGCAGUGGGGAAUAUUGCGCAAUGGGCGCAAGCCUGAUGCAGCGACGCCGCGUGAGGGAUGGAGGCCUUCGGGUUGUGAACCUCUUUCGCCAGUGAAGCAGGCCUGCUCCUUGUGGGUGGGUUGACGGUAGCUGGAGAAGAAGCGCCGGCUAACUACGUG